GGAUCGUGAAGACACAGAGAGAGGCUGUCUGAGAUACAGCCUAUAAGAAGACUGGGUUAAGGAGAACCAGGAAAGACAGGGGCUUUGCACCUUUAUGAUGGCACUGCACAUUGAUGUUUCCAGUGUUUGGAAACAGAAUACAGCUCAACAGCAUGGUUGCUGCAUCAUCUGUCGGACCAUUGCCCUGAGACUGAAGGGGAGAAUAGGGGAGAACUCAUCAUGGGAUGCCAUCUUCCCCUGUGUCAUCCACAAUGGGCAAUGUCAACCUAAUGGAUUCAAAGUCAGAAAGUGUGAUUUCCAGGGAGAGCUUCAGCACACUGCAGUAAAGCUCUGGGUAAUGAAGUCUAUGCCACUUUUCAUUUCCUCUGAGCAGAUUUUAUUUUCCUGUGAUGACUAUGAUGUAUGUACAAGCAAAAUGUCUCUCUCCCUCUCCCUCUUCCCCCGC